CCAUAAUACCAUCUACCCUUGGAAGAGUAGGUUGUUGCCGUAUAUUUUCUAUAAAUGCCAUAAAAGCAAAGCUAGGUUUCAGAGCCAAGUUAAAGUCUUGCCUAUUUAGUAAAGAAAUGGGCUCAACAAGACUGGGAUCCAAGAAACUCCAUGCAGUUUUUGUCCCUUACCCUGCACAAGGCCAUGUUAGUCCCAUGAUGCGAUUAGCCAAGCUUCUACACUCAAGGGACUUCCACAUUACCUUUGUCAAUACUGAGUUCAACCACAUGCGCUUAGUCCGGUCUAAAGGACCGGACUCCAUCAAGGGCCUACCCGACUUCCGGUUUGAGACCAUACCGGACGGGCUGCCUCCUUCGGACAAAGAUGCAACCCAAGAUAUUCCAGCUUUAUGUGACUCCACUAGGAAAACCUGCCUAGGUCCCUUUAAGGAGCUGGUAAUUAAACUUAAUAACUCAUCUUCUGAAACUCCACCAGUUACUUGCGUUGUUACAGAUGGUCUCAUGGGCUUUGGGAGCAAAGCUGCUAGGGAGUUAGGCAUUCCAGAGGUUCAAUUUUGGACAGCCUCUGCUUGUGGCUUCAUGGCGUACUUGCAGUAUGGUGAACUUGUCAAACGAGGGAUUGUUCCAUUCAAAGGUACGUACUUAUGUCACUCACGUGUUUCUUCCAUCAAAAUUUUUGAUGGAGCUUAAGCUAUAUAUUCCCUAUGAACUGGAACAAUUGAUAAAUUAUAUGAAUUAAAUCGCAAAAAUUGAAUAAAUUAUAUGAGAUAAAUUGUGAAAAUUGAAACUAUAUAACUUACUAAAGGAAACAAAAUCAAAUUUGUGCUUCUUUUUUUGUUCCGAACCUCACCAACAGUAUAUCUAAUCACACAUUUCACUUAACCUUGCAUGUCAGAUGAAAAUUUUAUGCACGACGGUACGCUGGAUACACCAAUUGAUUGGAUCCCAGGCAUGAAGAAUGUUCGUCUCAAGGACAUCCCUACCUUCAUUAGAGUGACUGAUGUCAAAGACAUGAUGUUUGAUUUCAUGAGAUCCGAAACACAAAACUGUCUGAACUCUUCUGCAAUCAUCUUCAACACAUUUGAAGAAUUUGAACAUGAAGUGUUAGAGGUAUUAUCAACCAUCUCCCCUAAAAUUUACACCAUAGGCCCCCUUAAGUUGCUUGGCCGCCAUUUUCCUGAAAGCAAAUUGACAAAUUCACUUGCCUCAAGUUUAUGGAAAGAAGACACAAAAUGCCUAGAAUGGCUUGACAAAAAGAAACCCAAUUCAGUGGUGUAUGUUAAUUAUGGCAGCAUAACUAUGAUGACAGCCGAACAUCUGAAAGAAUUUGCAUGGGGGCUUGCAAAUAGCAGGCACCCAUUUUUGUGGAUUGUUAGGCCUGAUGUGGUGAAGGGUGACUUCGUAAUUUUAUCCGAUGAAUUUUUUGAGGUGAUCAAGGAUAGGGGUUAUAUAACCAAUUGGUGUCCACAGGACCAAGUGCUCGCUCAUCCAUCUGUUGGGGCUUUUUUAACACACGCUGGCUGGAAUUCUAUCAUCGAAACUGUAUCUGAAGGUGUGCCAGUGAUUUGCUGGCCUUUCUUUUCUGAGCAGCAAACGAAUUGUCGAUACGCAUGCACUGAUUGGGAGAUUGGAAUGGAGGUGAGCCCCGAUGUGAAGCGCGAUGAAAUUGAAGCACUUGUUAAGGAAAUGCUGGACGGGGAAAAGGGGAUGAAGAUGAGGGAAAAGGCUAAGCAGUGGAAGAAAAAAGCUGUAGAAGCGACUGAUGUUGGAGGAUCAUCGUACAAUAAUUUUGACAGAUUGAUUAAGGAUCUUCAAUAUGGAUGGUGAAUGACUUGUAAAAUGAGGGUUUAUCUUAUUUUCAUGCAGGAUCACUAUUGUUUUGUUUUCAUGUCUAUCUUUGGUUUGGAUUUCAGUUGUUUCUUUAGUUUUUUAUUUUCAUGUAAUGGGAUAGCAGGGUUUGAAAUUUAUAAUCUCUUCCAUCGUUAAGAAGAAAAAUAAUCUAAGAUGUUAAUGGAUUGUUUCUCUAGUUGUUGUAUCCCUUAUAAUUAAACA
rnacentral:lncRNA from 1 species